AAUCGGCUGGUUUGUAUCUUUUGGUUUCUUUGCACAAACAAGAAACGAUAACGCUUUAAAUACCCAAACACUACACCAGACACCUAAAGCAAAGCACAAAGUGCAGCAGUAAGUAAACACAUGAUUUUAAACGGUAUGGAUCGAUCCUGCGUAUGUAAUGAUUGAGCUGGGUUUUGUCUGAAGUUUAGAGCUGCUGUGUGCAUCAUGCCGUCCAGAACUGAAGCCUGGAAAAUGCCUCUACAAAUUAUAAUGUGGUUAUAAUGUAACCUAUAGCCUAUAAUCCUGCUUGUGGACAUUGCGUCAUCACAUGCUGUAGUAAAGGGCCCGCUUUGAUAACCCUGCUUAGGGGCCCGGUGUUGGCUCGUUACGCUGCUGAGGGAAACUGAGAAUUAGAGAAGAAUGAAAAAGAUCAGAUGGAGCGAGAUUGUAAGUGCCUUAAACGUUAGAAUCAACAUUUAGAAAUCUAUGCAAUACGUUACUGAAAGCCACUACAGUCGCUGAAGAACUGCAGAGAUUUGCUUAAUAUAAAAAGUUUAAAGAGAACAUUAGCUGCUAAGUUAUGCACAAACUGAGGUUAAAUUAAAAACUGUAACAAUUGAAAUGAAACUUUCUGAGAUUAUUUUCUUUUUCCAUUGAUUUUUUAAGCAAGCAUACAUUUGCAUACAUUACUGACAAACAAAUGUAAAGUUGGUGUUAACAUAUAAAGUGUGUUUUAGGAGAGUGUUUAUUGACUCUUCACAGAAGAGAUGAAGAUUGUUGUGUUUGCUCUUCUCCUCUCAGCUCAUUGUGAGCUGACAACAGCUCUGAAAAGACAACACUUUUAUUUUAGUAAUGCCACGACAUGGACAGAUGCUCAAAGUCACUGCAGAGCCUACUAUGUAGACCUGUCCAGUGUUGAUCGCCAGGAGGAAAUUACAGCGAUUAACUCUAUAAUCACGGAUAGUGGUUACGGUGGUUACAGCUGGGUUGGUCUGCGACUGAUCUCUGCAAACAAUUGGCAGUGGAGUGAUGGAGGCAAUAGCAGUUUUAUUAUCUGGGAAAAAUCAAACCCAAUUGCUACAAGCGAUUAUAUUUGCUGUUCAUUUAAAAACCGUGUUGUGUAUAACUAUGACUGUAGUUAUCCAAACAACCAUUACUUGUGUUACAAGUGGGACACUAAACUGAUUGUGGUUAAAGAGAAUAAGAGCUGGGAGGACGCGUUACAAUACUGCAGGACUCAUCACACUGAUCUGGCCAGUCUGCCAACAUAUUUACAUCUCAUCCAAGCCAAACAAACCAUUGGUAAUACAUCAACUGUAUGGACAGGUCUACGGUUCCUGGCAGGCUCAUGGUUCUGGUUAAGUGGUGAGAAUCUGGGACAUCUUAGUGCCCAACUGCCAGCCUGUCCUGCCAAUUACACUUACUGUGGAUCUCUAAACAUGACAACCCAGAGCUGGGAGAACAGAAACUGUAUGGAGGAACUUAACUUUGUGUGCUAUUAGAGAGGAAGGCUUUAAGAAGACCAGAAGAGAACUCAUGACAAAUGAAGUUAAAUCUAGGUACCCAAUGGUUCUAUUCUAAGUAAAAAUAGGGUCAAUUAGUGUCUGCAAUAAAUAUGAAUUUUCUGUAUAUUGUUAAUGAAUAGAAAAAAAUAUGCAAUUAUUCUGUUUAAUUUAGUUUAUUGUGCUUUUUUAACCCAAGCUUAGUUUGAUUUAUGCCUGUCUAUGUAAUUCAAGCAGUUAUGAUGCAUAAAAUUCAUUGAAGAUAUUGAAUGCUUUAACUGAGAAAUAAUACUAAGUGAUAUAUAUAUAUAUAUAUAUAACAAAUAGUAGUGUGUGUAUACUAACCGAUAUUAGAGAGGCUUGUUAUUAUUGAUUAGAAAACAGUUAUGUAUUAGAUUAAAAAUGCUUAAAGAUGUAAGAUUGUAGGACAGCAAGACACAGAAGUCAGCGACAUCUUAAAAGAACAAUGAAAUCAAAAAAGGAUCUAACUGCAGAUGAUGUUUAACCUGUGUCUCCUGAUGAUAGAAAUCCUUCUUGAAAUAUUGUUUUUAACUUUGCUGUUAAGUUUUAUU